UACGUAGGGGGCGAGCGUUGUCCGGAAUUAUUGGGCGUAAAGCGCGUGUAGGCGGCUAUGUAAGUCGGGCGUGAAAUCCCACGGCUCAACCGUGGAAGUGCACCCGAAACUGCGUAGCUAGAGUCCUGGAGAGGAAGGUGGAAUGCUUGGUGUAGAGGUGAAAUUCGUAGAUAUCAAGCGGAACACCGGUGGCGAAGGCGGCCUUCUGGACAGUGACUGACGCUGAGACGCGAAAGCGUGGGGAGCAAACAGG
rnacentral:rRNA from 1 species